GGUAGAGCAGCUGAUCACCAGCAGAUGGCAACAAAGACUGUCCAGAUAAGAGCUAAGAGCUCUUUACAAUGUGAUGAAUUAGUAGUUCAUUUGUAAAAAAGAAAACUGAAAUAGAACUCAUGGAAAUGUUUCUCAUUUCUGAAUAACCAAAUACACAGGAAACUAAGUAAAAUCCUUAGGCUUAAUUGAUGUUGAAAUGCCCUGAGAACAUUUGUUGACAUCCAGAGUGAUAUUGAAAAGAACUGAUUGAGGAUAGUGAACAUCUUCAUUGUGUUUGUAAACUCAGGAGGAAUGCUCAUUCAAUAUGAUGUUAACAGUGGGA
rnacentral:lncRNA from 10 species